CACUGCUCCUCCCCCUCUCCCCCCUCUCCUUCACUUCCCUCCCCUCCUCCCCUCCCCUCUCUUUUGCCCCCAUCCACUACCAUUCCCCCUCGCUUUAAGGGAAACUUACCUUUCCUGCUCUUCACUGACUUCUUGAUUCUCGUGGCUCUGGCUGCUAUUUUGCCUUGUUUCCUUUGCUCUGCUAUGCACUGCUUUCUCUGUAUUUCUUGCCAUCCACUCCUUCCUUUGAGUUAUUCUUUACUUUUUCACUUGGCUUUUUUCUUCUUUUCUCUUUACCUUUCUUCUCUUGUCAUUAUUCGGUUUUUUUGUAUGCUUUUUCUGUUUUCAUCUAUUAGUUUUUUCUUUUCUUUUUUUUUUCUUUUUUUAUCUUUUCUCUUUUUUCUCUUUUUUGUUCAAUUUCUUUUUGUCUUUUAUCUUUUUUCUCUUUUUCAUUCAUUUUUUCUUUUUUUCUUUUCAUUUUUUCUCUUUUUCUUAUUUUUCUUUUCUUUUUUCUCUUUUUUCAUAUUUUUUGUUCUUAUUUUUUCUUUUCUUUUCUUUUUUCAUCAUAGGUUUGCCUUCAGCCCUCCCCUCAGCCCUUCCCUCCGCUCUGCUCUUCACCCAUCCCCUCCCCUCCCCAUCCCCUCUUUUCUCCCUUACCCUCCCCUUUCCCCUUGCCUUUGCCUCCCAGUACCUUGCCUGCCCUUCACUUACCUUCUCCUCACUUCCUGCUCCUUGAUGCUAUGGGCUUUUGCUGCUACUCACGCCAAACCCCAACACUUGCCUACUCUGCGUGCUGCUCUGCCAAGUUGCUCUCUACUCUGCUCACAGCUUCACGCCUACUGCCUGCCCUUCUCUGUCCCCUUCUCGUGCCCUUCACGCUUUUCCUCCCCUUGCUGAGCAAGGCCAUGCCCGGUAGCUACCCUUGAACCUCCUCCGCCCUUUGCCUUCCUCCACAGAGAUGCUUGCUUCUGGCCAGCACUCCUGCCCGGUGCCUAGCCCACACACCUCAUCUCUUGGGGAGAUAGCAAGCUGGCCUGUAGCUACCCACACCUCCUCCCGGGCAUGGCUUCUCAGCUUUGCUUCAAGCCCAGAACCCAAAGGAGCUCCUCUUACCUUUUGGCCCACAUUCUUCUCCUCCCGCGCAGCUCCUGUGGCAAGCAGGGGCACAGCUCUGGCCAGAGUCCUCCAUUCCUGCAAGGUUGCUUUUUUGUCAUUCUUUGCCUUCUGUUGCUGUGCUCUCUUUUGCUGUGCUAUGCCUAGCUUUCCUACUUGCUUGCUCUGUAUUUACAUGCAUUGCUUUUGACUUGUUAUUCUCCUUUGUCCGUCUGUUUCAUUAGUUUCCCUUCAACCCUCCCCCUUCCCUCACCCUACCUCCAAUUUUUUCCUUCCUACCCUCUCUCCUCUCCCCCCCAGCCACCCACACCCCCACUUACUCACCCCCCUCACCUCUGCCCCCUCUCCACCCC
rnacentral:lncRNA from 7 species